rnacentral:rRNA from 1 species
CCCUUAGAUGUUCUGGGCCGCACGCGCGCUACAAUGAUGAAUUCAACGAGUUUAUAACCUUGGUUGAAAAGCCUGGGUAAUCUUUUGAACUUUCGUCGUGAUGGGGCUAGACCCUUGCAAUUAUUGGUCUCCAACGAGGAAUUCCUAGUAAACGCAAGUCAUCAGCUUGCAUUGAUUACGUCCCUGCCCUUUGUACGCACCGCCCGUCGCACCUACCGAUUGAAUGGUCCGGUGAAAUCUUCGGAUUGAGACUUUGAUUUCUUCACGGAAAACGCUGUUUUAAAAAGUUGAUUAAACCUUACCAUUUAGAGGAAGGUGAAGUCGUAACA